AUUGAACGCUGGCGGCAGGCCUAACACAUGCAAGUCGAGCGGCGCGCGGGUGGCGUGAGUAAUGCCUAGGAAUCUGCCUGGUCGUGGGGGAUAGCGUCCGCAACCGGGCGCUAAUACCGCUUACUCUCAGGUGAGCCUCGGUUGGAUUAGCUAGUUGGUGGGGUAAAGGCCUACCAAGGCGACGAUCCGUAACUGGUCUGAGAGUAUGAUCAGUCACACUGGAACUGAGACACGGCCCAGACUCCUACGGGAGGCAGCAGUGGGGAAUAUUGGACAAUGGGCGAAAGUCUGAUCCAGCCAUGCCGCGUGUGUGAAGAAGGUCUUCGGAUUGUAAAGCUCUUUUAGUUGGGAGGCGUUACCAACAGAGUAAGCACCGGCUAACUUCGUGCCAGCAGCCGCGGUAAUAC
rnacentral:rRNA from 1 species